AUUCCAUACCUGUGUUCCCCUCACUGGGAAUGUGCUCAUUUCAUCUGAUGAUAAAAUGGAUUUUCUUCAAGAAAUGGGCUUCUGUUUGCACCUUAUCAAGAACAGAUUGUCUUCUCUUAAAUUGCUUGCCAAUAGCACCAUAAACCCACUACAUGCUACUCUAAUAAUCCUGCUGUAAUUGGAUGAUUAUUACUCUAUUAAUGAAGACACCCUACACUUGAACUAAAAGACAUGGACAAAUAAAAGACUAAAUGACUGUGGGACCAGACAGGACAGAAACCUCUAUCAUCAAGUAAUGAAGAAAAACUAAGAAGAUUUAAGGAGAGUAAAUUUUGAUCAAAUAUGUUCUAUAUGCCGGCAUAGAUUUCUCAGGUAAUAAAUAAAAAAUGAAAA